rnacentral:miRNA from 1 species
UUUCCGAUCCCGCCCAUGCCGU